rnacentral:rRNA from 1 species
AUGGUAAAAUUGAAUGCAGAUGGGGCAGUGGCCAGGUCUCGGCAUGGAGGAGCUGCGGCAGCAAUUUGCCGCGAUCAGGACGGCAAUUACCUAGGAUCAUCAGCGGUGGUUUAUCAUGGAGUUACUGAUCCGAUGAUGCUCGAGACUUAUGCUUGCAGAGAAGCGUUGGCUUUGGCGGAAGAUCUCGCGACAAUGAAUAUAUGUGUGGCAUUGGAUUGCCAAGAAGUGGUCAAUGAUAUCAACAUAGGGCCAGGAGGUCCCAACGCUGCUCUUAUACAUGAAAUAAUACUUCGAUGUAAUAGCUUUAAUUCUUGCUCUUUUGUUCAUGAGCGUAGGAACCAUAAUUAUGAGGCUCAUAAUCUCGCCAAGUUUGCAUGUACUUUUGGACUAGGUAGACAUGUGUGGUUGGGCAAUCCUCAUGACCCAAACCGUGUACCUAUGUCGCUUAUCUUUGAAUGA